GUUUACGGCCAUAGCACACUGAAUGCACCCAAUCUCCUAUGAUCUCGUAAAGCUAAGCAGGGUCAGGCCUGGUUAGUACUUGGUAUGGGAUUCCACCUAUGAAUACCAGAUGCUGUAGGCU
ensembl:rRNA 5S_rRNA 5S ribosomal RNA